UCACUCGCCGGGGUCCCUUGCGGCUUUGGCCUGCGCGAGACUCCGUCGAGCGGGGCUUGCUGGCGUCCUGAGCAUCACUCCCUCGCGCGUGCAGGCGUCCCUGCAACGGCGACGGCGAGCCACAUCAAGUCCGGCGCGGUGGCGGGCUUCCAACGGCGAAAGACGCACAAGGAUGCGAUGCAUCAACCGUUCGGUGCAGCGGACGGCCAGCCUGCUCGAGCGCGAGCCCAAACGAGCCUGCCGGGUGCCGGCAUAAGGAGGCGGCCAUGGCGACGCCGCACGGCGGCGACGAGCACCACAGCUCCAUGAUAAGAUCCGCUGCCCUUUAAUUCAUGAUCCUUAGAGUUAGGGUUCCUCUGAUUUGGGGGAAAUUAGGAUUAGGGUUUCGGCAAUUGGUGAUUUUGCUUUAAACUUGCACAGAUGCUUCAAAUCCCUUUAUUUCAUCAUCAAAAGGAAACCCUUAGUUAACAUACAAUCUGCUAGGGCUAGAAACUUAAGAGAUUUAGGGAUCGAAAAGUUCAAGCUGUGCUCAAUCACGAGGAACAACUUGAAUCUAAAUUUAGACAGGAAGAACCCUUUGAUUUUGAGAUAAACUUAAUGGAUCAAGCACGAACUUGAGCAUGUAGGGCUCAAACGAGAUGCUAUAUGGCUCUGGUGCCAUUGUUGCAUUGCCAGGAUCAAAAUAGCACAAGAGAUUUAGGGAUCAAACAGUUCAAGCUGUGCUCAACCGGGGCAGUUCAUCGGAGUAGGUAGGCACUGUAGCUGCCGCCCUACUGCAGCAGCAUUUAGAUAUUUUCUUCGGUUUCUUAACUGAGCCUCGGUUCAGUUUUAGAUCAUAAUAUUUAUUAUUAACUGAAAUUUAGUCUUUAGAUCAUAAUAUCCAACAAUUGCUAGCACAUUGAAACCCCUUUAGCAGCGGUUGCUAUGAAAGAGAACCAGCGUGGAGCACAUGUAUGCAGCACCGAGCUGUGUACUCAUCGCUUCCUAGCCAUGGAGAACCAGCGUGGCCAUGUUAUUAUUAUACCUCUAUCUGCAAUUAUAUGCUGUAUGUGUAUGCUUAUGGCAUGUUAAAGGCUUAAAGCAAGCAAUUGCAUUGGUGCGGGGUAAACAUGCAGGUGGGCCUCAUUAAAAUAAGAAUGGUAAAAGAUGUGUGUUGCCCACCCUCCAUGCCACCACUCACUUCAGUUUUUCUUUUGAACACAGAAAUUUUCAUUAAUUUAAAAACAACGUACAUGUACAAUCUUCCACUGCAUGAUGCAUGAAACUGCAGCUACAUCUGCAUUUAGGCAUGUAUCUAUGCCUGAAUUUAAACACCUGUAGCUAAAAGAUGCGCUCUGGAUCUUCAGUGCCAACUUGGCUUGAUGAUGAGCCCUGAAGUUAUAACAUCAGUUGAUAUGAUAUAUUCUGGAAGCAUCAAAGGCUGUGCAGGCUGCUGUUUGAGCGAGUUGUGGUCUGAUGGACCAAUGUCCAGGAGCAAGCAUCAGGUUCUGCGAUGCUGCCGCAGUCGCCAACGCCGCAGUCUGUCAAAAAGGUAGCCUGCUGAAUCUGAAGUGUUCCUGCAAUCUGGGACGCUAACAUCAAGCCGAGUGCCUCGGCCUGAAUGGCAGAUGUUAUUGGUGGGGAUAUGACCAAGAUACACAGCUGAGAGCAACGCUGAUCAGCUCCGAACUGUAUGAAAAUACCUAAGCCAGCAACUGCGGGUCUGCCGUACCGGACUUGGAGGCCAAGCUGCAUCCAAGUAAAUGAUGGGGCCUGAAAUGGUGGAUAUAUCGUUGAUAAUUCUUCCCGGCCUGGGUGAUGUAUGUUGGUCGACAUGGCCCUGUCUCCUUGCACAGAAGCGUCAUCAAGCAUCCUGUAGAUUGAAGAGCGAGCUGUAUCAUCCAUCCGAGAGGAAAUUGGUACCUCCAUACUGGAGCCCUGCAUGAUCGCCCUUGCUGCAGCAUAAACCUGUGAAGGGGCACUUACUUUCCUGCAAAGACAAGCAUUGUUUCGAGCUUUCCCGCAAUUAAUAUCUAGGAAUUGCUAUAUAACAUCCUGUAAUUAGAAAAGCAUUUCCUUAGGAAAUUCAACAAUAGAUCUUCAUAUAUCCUUUGCGUGGACAUGGAGUUUGUGCAGACAAAUGCAUGCAGUCAGGGACUGCAAACAAUACAUCCUGCCACCAGAAGUUUUCUUUUAUUAUAUGGCCACCCCAUGUUAUCGUUCAUAAAAAGAAGCAAACGUUCAGUUUUGAGAUAACAUCAUUAAUCCAAACGAACGGUAAAAGCAGUGGCUCUGCACUUUACUGCAUCAGCUUUAUUCUUUUCAUCAAAAGAAAGCAAAAGCAAGCUAGUAAUGCAAGUUUAGCAUCUCUUCUUUUCCCCCUUAAUUAAUUUUCUCUUCUUUUCCCUUUGCCUCUCUUCGUCAGCUGCAUGCAGGUGCCUUCACUUCUCUUUUCACCAACGGCAGCAUCCCAUUCCCAUAGUUGCCUUGGCGAAAACGAAAGCUCCAAACCGGGGAGGCGACCGCGCGUUGGAUCUGAUCGACUUCGCGUGUUGCUGAGUUUCUUCUUCCUCCGAUCUGCAAGAUCAUGGCCGAAUCACUGCUUCUCCCUGUGGUGGAAGGUCUGGCCGGCAAGGCAGCAGACGUGCUCAUCCAGACCGUGACCCGCAUGUGUGGCCUCGACGACGACCGCGAAACGCUGGAGCGCCAUCUGCGAGCCGUCCGGUGCAAGCUGGCCAACGCGGAGGAAAGGAGCCAGACAAAUGGUGGUGACUACAUCAAGAGCUGGAUGGAGAAGCUCAAGGCCGUCGCCUACGAGGCCGACGACGUCCUCGACGACUUUCAGUACGAGGGGCUGCGCCGUGAAGCCCGGAUCGGCAAGUCCACUUCCCGCAAGGUACUCGGCUAUGUCAAAUACCACAGCCCGUUGCUCUUCCGUUUCGCCAUGAGCAGGAAGCUCAAGGGUGUCCUUGAUAAGAUCAGGGAGCUAGUUGAGGAGAUGAAUAUGUUUGGUCUUGAGAAUUCUGUCCAUCGUCAGGAGCCACAACUUCCUUGGCGGCAGACUCACUCCAAACUGGAUGAGUCUACCGACAUCUUUGGAAGAGAUGAUGACAAGGAGAGGGUGGUUAAGCUGCUGCUAGAGCAGCAACAUCAGCAGAAGGUUCAGGUGCUGCCCAUCUUUGGUAUGGGAGGUCUUGGCAAGACAACACUUGCUAAGAUGGUGUACAACGACCAAAAGGUCCAGCAGCAUUUCCAGUUGAAGAUGUGGCACUGCGUGUCAGACAAUUUUGAUGUUUCUGCUAUUUUGAAAUCCAUCAUUAAAUUGGCUAAUGGAACUUGUGACCAGGCUGACAGCAUCCAAAUAUUGCAAAAGAAACUUGAUGAAGUCAUUGGCCGCAAAAGGUUUUUUCUUGUUCUCGAUGAUGUAUGGAAUGAAGAGAAGAGGAUGUGGGAAGAUGAAUUGAAGCCACUAUUGUGUUCUGUUGGUGGACAAGGAAGCGUUAUUGUGGUCACAUGUCGAAGCAAGCAAGUGGCCACUAUAAUGGCCACUCUUAAGCCCCAUGAGCUAGCAUUUCUUGGUGAAGAAGAUUCAUGGGAAUUAUUUUCAAACAAAGCAUUUAGCAGUGGUGUAGAGGAGCAAGCAGAGUUAGUCACCAUAGGAAGACGUAUUGUCAAUAAAUGCGGGGGGUUGCCUCUUGCUCUGAAGACAAUGGGUGGAUUGCUAAGUUCGAAGCAACAUGUAGAGGAAUGGAAGACCGUCGAAGGAAGUAACAUUGGGGAUAAUGUUGGGGGCAGGCAUGAGGUCAUGCCCAUACUAAAGUUAAGCUACAACCACUUGUCAUCUGAAAUGAAGCAAUGUUUUGCAUUCUGUGCAGUUUUUCCCAAGGAUUAUGAGAUGCAAAAGGAUAUGUUGAUCCAACUAUGGAUGGCAAAUGGGUUUAUUAAAGAAGAGGCGACAAUGGAUUUAACACAGAAAGGAGAAUGCAUUUUCCAUGAAUUGGUUUGGAGGUCCUUCCUGCAAGAUUUGAAAGUUGUAGACAGUUUUUUCCCAGGAUAUGAGAAAGUAGUAUGUAAAAUGCAUGACUUAAUGCAUGACUUAGCCAGAAAUGUUAGCAAUGAUUGUGCCACCAUAGAAGAAUUGAUUGAACAGAAAGCAUUCUUAAAAAGUGUCUGCCACCUGCAAAUGUCAAUGGAUAAUUCAAAAGAGACCUAUGAUGUUCUAAAUGGCAACACAUCUCCCCGCACUUUGUUAGCUCCUUCAUUGAUGUACCAGGACUUUAAACGGCUGUCACAUGCAUCAUUGCGAGCAUUGCAUCGGCGGGGUUUGUUUCACACCAGUUUCAGUUUCGUAAAUGCAAAACAUUUACGGUAUCUUGACCUCUCCAAUUGUGACGUCAAUGCUAGAUUGCUGGAUUCAGUAUGCCUAUUGUAUAACCUGCAAACGUUGAGGCUGAAUAAUUGCAAUGGACUGAGGCAGUUACCAGAAGAUAUGAUGAUGAGCCUGAGGAAGCUCAUACAUCUUUUUCUUUUUGGAUGUCAGUUGCGGCGGAUGCCUCGAAAGAUUGGUCAGCUGGUCAACCUUCGAACACUAACAACAUUUAUUGUGGAUACUAGAGAUGGUUGUGGCAUUGAGGAGCUCAAAGACUUGCGACACCUUAGCAACAGGUUGGAACUUUACAACUUGAGAAAAAUAAAAAGUGCCGAGCAUGCAAAAGAAGCCAAUCUCCAGCAAAAGCAAAAUCUGACUGAGUUGUUGUUCUGUUGGGGCCUUAAUAAAUAUGGCAUGCCCGAAAAUGAGACAUAUAGUGAGGAUGAAGUGUUACAUCAUCUAGAACCUCAUAGCAAGAUCCAAAUUUUGGAGUUACAUGGAUGUGGUGGCUUAGAAAUGCCACAAUGGAUGAGAGAUCCUCAAAUGCUUCAGUGUUUAAGAAAACUCACAAUUACCAAAUGGACAAGGUGUAAGAAUAUACCUGUAGUAUGGCUGUCAACUUCACUGGAGUUCUUACAUUUGGGCAGAAUGGAUGAACUCAAGACAUUAUGUGGUAACCUUUGCAUAGAAGGUGGAGGACGCAGUACCCCUCUACAAAUUUUCCCGAAGUUGAAGGACAUGGUCUUGAGAGAGCUAUCUAGUCUAGAGGGAUGGGCAGAUAACAGUGUGGGUGUGUCUAUUGAUAGCUCAGUAAUUUUCCCGGUGCUUGAGAAGCUAGAAAUCUGCCACUGCCCUAAGGUUACAAGUUUACCACAGAGCCCCGUUCUCAAAGACCUGGAUUUAGCAGGAUGUUACUUGGAAGUGGAGUGUGUAUGGGAUAUUCCAAGGUUGCCUACAUCCCUUGAAAAUUUGUGGAUUCAAGACUUCGAAGGUUUGGUGGCGCUGCCUUCAAACCUUGGAGAUCUGGCAAAGCUGAGCUACCUGGUGGUUUAUAGCUGCAUGGCCCUGAAAGGGUUGCCUGAUGGGAUGGAUGGCCUCACUUCUCUUCGGAAAUUGGAGAUCAUUGAUUGUCCAGCGAUAGAGGAAUUCCCGAAUGGUCUCCUUCAGCGGUUGCCAGCCCUUGACUCCUUAACCAUAUUUGGCUGCCCCGAGUUGGAAAGACGAUGCAGAGAAGGCGGGGAGUGUUUCCAGCACUUGUCUCCUAUACCAUGUAAAAGAGGAUUCAGAACUGGAGCUCCAGAAGUAGAAGCAGAAUCCACAAUUAUAGCACCAGAAGCAGAAACCAGCGGAAAGAAGUUUCUAAGAAGGCUCCUCCCCUCCUGUGCUCACUCGAAGUCUGGUGAUAACUAAUGUGCCACAUUCUGUACACAUUUUUUGGACAAGUAUGUGCCUUUUUCUGGACAAGUAUAUCUCAUUGCUUACUGCUCUGUGCCGAAAUAGCAUAAAGAGGUUGGAAUUUCUGAAAGCAUCCACAAGAUGAAGGAAGCAACGCCAUGCCGGACAAGCGAAGUCAGAACUCCAUCAUCACGGCAUGUGAUCAGUGUUGUCUGAAUGAACAUGCAACAAUGGGAACUACUGUAGAUCAUUCUGUGACCGUCAUCGCUUUCCCUAGUGCAGGCAGAUAUGUCUUGAUCCAAUAUCUCUACAUGUAGAUGUCAGUGAGAAAUUAAAAUUUUGUAUUUGCCUGUAAAUUCGCAAAUAGUCCUUUGGCUCUCAGAGGAACGAAGCCCAUGCCUGUGUGCGUGGCAAUCUGACAUGUGACUAUGACCUGGAGAUGGUUCGAUGGUUGGUCACUCCAAGCCAGAGUGAUGCUUUCUUAGUUUCAUAUAAUAUAUGCCUUUCU